rnacentral:lncRNA from 1 species
UACGAAUUCUCGGAGGUCACUGUGACCACGCUGCUUUAAGCCAGUUCACAGUCACUGGAAGUAGCAGAGCCCCCCGGCAGCCCUCAGGCCUAGUAGGAAAUAAUACAGACAGGUUGGACUAUAUUGCAUUCUACCAGCAAUAGGAGAGCUCCAGUUCUUCCCCAUCCUUGCCAACACAAGGUACCAUCAGUCUUUUUAUUUCUGCCAAUCUAAUAGGUAUGUAGU